AUUGAACGCUGGCGGCAGGCCUAACACAUGCAAGUCGAGCGAGCGGCGGACGGGUGAGUAAUGUCUGGGAAACUGCCUGCUGGAGGGGGGUAACUCCUGGAGACGGUAGCUAAUACCGCAUACCCUCAGAUGUGCCCCGAUGGGAUUAGCUCGUAGGUGGGGUAACGGCUCACGUAGGCGACGAUCCCUAGCUGGUCUGAGAGGAUGACCAGCCACACUGGAACUGAGACACGGUCCAGACUCCUACGGGAGGCAGUAGUGGGGAAUAUUGCACAAUGGGCGCAAGCCUGAUGCAGCCAUGCCGCGUGUGUGAAGAAGGCCUUCGGGUUGUAAAGCACUUUCAGCGGGGAGGCGUUACCCGCAGAAGAAGCACCGGCUAACUCCGUGCCAGCAGCCGCGGUAAUAC
rnacentral:rRNA from 1 species